UACGAAGGGGGCUAGCGUUGUUCGGAAUUACUGGGCGUAAAGCGCGCGCAGGCGGCCAUUCAAGUCAGGGGUGAAAGCCCAGAGCUCAACUCUGGAACUGCCCUUGAAACUGUAUGGCUUGAGUAUGAGAGAGGUGAGUGGAAUUCCCAGUGUAGAGGUGAAAUUCGUAGAUAUUGGGAAGAACACCGGUGGCGAAGGCGGCUCACUGGCUCAUUACUGACGCUCAGGCGCGACAGCGUGGGGAUUAAACAGG
rnacentral:rRNA from 1 species